rnacentral:rRNA from 1 species
GAUGAACGCUGGCGGCGUGCCUAAUACAUGCAAGUCGAGCGAAUGGAUUAAGAGCUUGCUCUUAUGAAGUUAGCGGCGGACGGGUGAGUAACACGUGGGUAACCUGCCCAUAAGACUGGGAUAACUCCGGGAAACCGGGGCUAAUACCGGAUAACAUUUUGAACCGCAUGGUUCGAAAUUGAAAGGCGGCUUCGGCUGUCACUUAUGGAUGGACCCGCGUCGCAUUAGCUAGUUGGUGAGGUAACGGCUCACCAAGGCAACGAUGCGUAGCCGACCUGAGAGGGGGAUCGGCCACACUGGGACUGAGACACGGCCCAGACUCCUACGGGAGGUAGCAGUAGGGAAUCUUCCGCAAUGGACGAAAGUCUGACGGAGCAACGCGGCGUGAGUGAUGAAGGCUUUCGGGUCGUAAAACUCUGUUGUUAGGGAAGAACAAGUGCUAGUUGAAUAAGCUGGCACCUUGACGGUACCUAACCAGAAAGCCACGGCUAACUACGUGCCAGCCGCCACCGUAA